UUUUAACUCUUUAUAUAACAUAAAAUACACCAACAGAUUUAAAAUUCAUUCAAAUAAGGUACAGCCUAUUUGAAACAGGAUACAACCUCUCACAGAGGGUAAUGCUUAUCAUAAGCGUGAUUAAGUAGGCCUAAAAGCAGCCACCUUUUAAAAAGCGUUAAAGCCUAAUCACACUAAAUUAUAAAUACCCAUCUAAGCCCAAAACCCCUUAACCCCUACUGAAUGACUUCAUACCUUUAUGAAAAUCCUUAUGUUAGAACCAGUAACAAGAAUAAUUAUUCUCCUACAAAUGUAAGUGUAAGCCGAAAUGGAACCCCCAUCGACACUCACCGCCAAUGAGCUAAUAGUAAUAACCCCCCCCCAAGAAAAUCUUACUCCUCCCAGCGUUAACCUUACACAAGAACUUUUCUGGAAAGAUUAAAAAAAGAGGAAG
rnacentral:rRNA from 1 species